rnacentral:sRNA from 1 species
AAGAGUGUCUUUAAAGCAGUAACGUAUAAAAACCCUUUUUCGUCUUCUCUUCUAUCUCGACCUCCCAAAUCAUGAAAGGAUCAAUUCAUGACUCCGCUAUUACGGGUUUAGAGGCUCAGCUUAUGGCAUCGAAGCGAGGACUAAUCGAAGCCGUGAGUUUGGGGAUCACUCAUAAGUCAUAUCUCAAUCUAUUGCGAUCAUUAUCACAUUUUUGAACUGGUAAGUAAGUGUUACUGCUGCAAAUCGAAACUGACUAUUGAAAGCUAUGCCCAUCUUUCGACACAUAAACUAAGAGCCAAGUGGGAACAAAGGAUCGAAGAGACAACUGAAAGAGAUUGGGUAAUGUGUGCAAAGUGCCAAAAAUUGGCUUCAGCAAGUCAUGGUAUAAUCUCUAUUCUCUAAUCACAAUCUCUAGCUUUUCUUAAUUAGUCCUUAUGUAAUUUGAUUAUGUUUUAAUUCGCCUCCUAAUU